UACGUAGGGGGCAAGCGUUUGUCCGGAAUCACUGGGCGUAAAGCGCGCGCAGGCGGUCAUCUACGUCUGGGGUGAAAGCCCGGAGCUCAACUCCGGGAUUGCCUUGGAUACGGGAUGACUUGAGGAUCGGAGAGGCAAGGGGAAUUCCACGUGUAGCGGUGAAAUGCGUAGAGAUGUGGAGGAACACCUGUGGCGAAGGCGCCUUGCUGGCCGAUUUCUGACGCUGAGGCGCGAAAGCGUGGGGAGCAAACAGG
rnacentral:rRNA from 1 species